UACGUAGGGGGCAAGCGUUGUUCGGAUUCAUUGGGCGUAAAGGGUGCGUAGGCGGCGCGGUAAGUCGGGUGUGAAAUCUCGGAGCUUAAACUCCGAAACUGCAUUCGAUACUGCCGUGCUUGAGGACUGGAGAGGAGACUGGAAUUUACGGUGUAAGCGGUGAAAUGCGUAGAUAUCGUAAGGAAGACCAGUGGCGAAGGCGGGUCUCUGGACAGUUCCUGACGCUGAGGCACGAAGGCCAGGGGAGCAAACGGG
rnacentral:rRNA from 1 species